rnacentral:tRNA from 1 species
UGUCGGCACGGGCCGGUGUUCGAGGGUUAUCUGCAUGGUAAGCAGGUGGUCGGGGGUUCGACUCCCUCCGUUGCCGA